rnacentral:tRNA from 1 species
AGUCCCGGGGUGUUACAUGUCAGAUUGCAAAUCCGAAGACGCAGGUUAGUCCCUGCCGGGGCUU